GACGAACGCUGGCGGCGUGCCUAAUACAUGCAAGUAGAGCGCUGAAGGAGGAGCUUGCUCUUCUGGAUGAGUUGCGAACGGGUGAGUAACGCGUAGGUAACCUGCCUGGUAGCGGGGGAUAACUAUUGGAAACGAUAGCUAAUACCGCAUAACAGUAGAUGUUGCAUGACAUUUACUUAAAAGGUGCAAUUGCAUCACUACCAGAUGGACCUGCGUUGUAUUAGCUAGUUGGUGGGGUAACGGCUCACCAAGGCGACGAUACAUAGCCGACCUGAGAGGGUGAUCGGCCACACUGGGACUGAGACACGGCCCAGACUCCUACGGGAGGCAGCAGUAGGGAAUCUUCGGCAAUGGACGGAAGUCUGACCGAGCAACGCCGCGUGAGUGAAGAAGGUUUUCGGAUCGUAAAGCUCUGUUGUAAGAGAAGAACGAGUGUGAGAGUGGAAAGUUCACACUGUGACGGUAUCUUACCAGAAAGGGACGGCUAACUACGUG
rnacentral:rRNA from 1 species